AUGAACCCGGAAUCCCUCACUGUAGCCCAGUUUCUCCCCUCCGCUGCAGGCGCCUUAGUGUACUGCUUACGCACUGGCACUAUGAACUCAAACCCUCCCACUCAAAGUCUCCAUCCUCCACCCCAUUAUAAAACUCCUGCUCUAUUUUUCCCUCCACCCAUCUAGUCCCUGGAGCUGCACUUGUGGGAGGCAUCCUUGAGGCCUAUCGCCUCUUACUCCUCAUAUCCAACACAUCACCAAAUCCCACAAAUUCUGCUUCUUGAAUCUGAGUCAAGCUACUUCUUUUCCCAUUACCACCAUCUCCACUUAUGAUCAGGCCCCUAGCAGGCCAACGUCAUUGAAACCCAAAUGCUACUGCCUUUGGCCAUUCCUCUCUCUCAGAUCUUCCCUGCGUGGUUCUCCACUGCCCUCAGGAGGGAGGCCAGCCCUGCUCGCUCUCCCUGCUCACCUCUUGCCUUUCCUUCUGCCGUGCCCAUCUCUUGGGUCUCAGCUUGGCCCUUUCCUCCGGGUGUUCCCCCUGUCCUGCCCUGGUGCCUGUCUGCCACACUCAGUCAACGCGGUCCCUCUUCGGUUACAGGGCUUGUUAACACUCCAUUGAAACCGGCAGACUUGACUGUCCCACCCCCACCCCUGGAGUCUGCGCCUCCAGGGCUGAAAUCACAUCUCAAUUCUUAAUGAGAUGUCUGCUUCCUUCACUGAAGGGACUUUACUAAGUGUUUCAUUGCAAGUUUUCUUUAAAUAGCCAGGCUCUCAGAGCCAUUUCAAAUAGGGUUUUAUGUUCCUAAAUUCAGUUAGUUCUCAACAUUUGAGACCAAUUCUUGCAGCAAGGUGGAGAAUAACUCUCAUCUGUGAAAGAAAAGCGGUUCAAUAAAGCUUGAUAAGCCUUUUGUAUCCGGAAUACUCAGUUCCCUGCCU
rnacentral:lncRNA from 1 species